UGCGUCUGAUCUAUCAUGGCCCUCAACUUUGUUUGGCCGAUCAGUGACAUUUAUAUAUGGUCAAUCAACUUUCUGAGAUAGACUUAAUUGGAAGAUCAGGAUUAGACGGGUCCUGUUUAAUGUCAAAGACAAAGGUGUCGAAUCAAGUUUCGAUGGAUCUACCGCUUCACAUUCUGUCAACUUUUGAGAUUCUUCCCAAUUACAUGUAGUAUCACCAGACUUUGGCAGGUGAAUUAUGGUGUCAUGUUCAUGUAGUUUUCUUGAAUCUUCUGUUUCUUCUUCGGUUCUUGAAUCGUCGAUCUCCUCCCAUGAUUUUAUUGGUGUCGCAUUCUGUUUCUCGUUGUCUCCCUUCUCACUGACUAUUGGGUCAUUGACUUUGUAAAUAGUGCUGGCUUCUGCAAUAAACUUCCCUGGUUCCUGUUCGAUGUUAUAAAUGAAACCCAUCUUAGACAAAUCAUCUGUUUCUUUUCUACUACUCCUUGGAUUAAUUACUUUUCCUCUUUCUUUCUACAUGUUUAAAGAUAUACCCAAUAAUUAUUUGUUGGAGUUGGA